rnacentral:rRNA from 1 species
CAGCCGCCGCGGUAAGACGUAGGGGGCGAGCGUUGUCCGGAAUUACUGGGCGUAAAGGGCGUGUAGGCGGCCUUUCAAGUCGGCUGUGAAAUUCCUUGGCUUAACUGAGGGUGUGCAGUCGAAACUGAUGGGCUUGAGUGCAGGAGAGGGUGGUGGAAUUCCCGGUGUAGCGGUGACAUGCGUAGAUAUCGGGAGGAACACCGGUGGCGAAGGCGGCCUCCUGGUCUGUUACUGACGCUGAGGCGCGAAAGCCGGGGGAGCAAACAGGAUUAGAUACCCUGGUAGUCCCGGCCGUAAACUCUGGGUACUAGGUGUAGGGGGCUUCGAUGCCUUCUGUGCCGUAGUUAACGCAUUAAGUACCCCGCCUGGGGAGUACGAUCGCAAGGUUGAAACUCAAAGGAAUUGACGGGGGCCCGCACAAGCGGUGGAGCAUGUGGUUUAAUUCGAUGCAACGCGAAGAACCUUACCAGGGCUUGACAUCUACCUGAAGGCUUGUGGAAACGCAGGUUGUCUUUCGGGACAGGUAGACAGGUGGUGCAUGGCC